AGUCUUGUAGCUCAGUGGUUAGAGCGCUCGCCUUGAAAGCGAGAGACUUGGGUUCAAUUCCUGGCAGGGCGA